rnacentral:rRNA from 1 species
AGGCGACCGCUAUUGGAGUUCGAUUAAGCCAUGCGAGUAGAAUGAAAUUAGAUUCAUUGCGAACUGCUCAGUAACACGUGGAUAACCUGCCCUAUGCUCUGGGAUAACCUUGGGAAACUGAGAAUAAUACCGGAUAGAUCACAACGCCUGGAACGGUGUGUGGUUGAAAGGUUACGGCAUAGGAUGGGUCUGCGGCGUAUCAGGUCGUAGGGGGUGUAAUGGACCCCCUAGCCAUCGACGCGUACGGGUGUUGGGAGACAUAGCCCGGAGACGGAUUCUGAGACACGAAUCCGGACCCUACGGGGUGCAGCAGGCGCGAAAACUUCACACUGCAGGAAACUGUGAUGAGGGAACUCCAAGUGGAUGCACAUAGUGUAUCUCUUUUCUUUACUAUUAAUCGAUAUUGGAAUAAGGGCUGGGAAAGACCGGUGCCAGCCGCCGCGGUAAUACCGGCAGCUCGAGUGGUCGUCGCUUUUAUUGGGCCUAAAACGUCCGUAGCCGGUUUGGUAAAUCUGUGGGUAAAUCAACUAGCUUAACUAGUUGAAUUCUGCAGAGACUGCCAGACUAGGAACCGGGAGAGGUGUGGGGUACUCAAGGGGUAGGGGUAAAAUCCUGUCAUCCUUUGAGGACCACCAGUUGCGAAGGCGCCACACUAGAACGGAUUCGACGGUCAGGGACGAAGCCUAGGGGCACGAACCGGAUUAGAUACCCGGGUAGUCCUAGGUGUAAACGCUGUGAACUUGGUGUCGGGAGUCCGCAAUGGGCCCCCGGUGCCGGAGUGAAGAUGUUAAGUUCACUGCCUGGGGAGUACGGUCGCAAGGCUGAAACUUAAAGGAAUUGGCGGGGGAGCACUGCAACGCGAGGAGCGUGCGGUUU